rnacentral:rRNA from 1 species
UUGGGAAUAUUGGACAAUGGGGGAAACCCUGAUCCAGCAAUGCCGCGUGGGUGAUGAAGGCCUUCGGGUUGUAAAGCCCUUUUGGCGGGGACGAUGAUGACGGUACCCGCAGAAUAAGCCCCGGCUAACUUCGUGCCAGCAGCCGCGGUAAUACGAAGGGGGCUAGCGUUGUUCGGAAUUACUGGGCGUAAAGGGCGCGUAGGCGGCCGUGCAAGUCAGAUGUGAAAGCCCUGGGCUCAACCCAGGAGGUGCAUUUGAUACUGCAUGGCUAGAGUGUCGGAGAGGAUGGUGGAAUUCCCAGUGUAGAGGUGAAAUUCGUAGAUAUUGGGAAGAACACCGGUGGCGAAGGCGACCAUCUGGACGACAACUGACGCUGAGGCGCGAAAGCGUGGGGAGCAAACAGGAUUAGAUACCCUGGUAGUCCACGCCGUAAACUAUGCGUGUUGGACGUCGGCGAGCCUAGCUCGUCGGUGUCGCAGCUAACGCGUUAAACACGCCGCCUGGGGAGUACGGCCGCAAGGUUA